rnacentral:tRNA from 1 species
GUUAUGGCUCAAGUGGCAGAGCGCUCGCCUAGCACACAUGAGGUACUGGGUUUGAUCCUCAGCAUCACA